GCCUGCAGAUGUGAUCCGGCGAGAUCGGCCUCUCUUCCCUGACCACGGCGUCCCCCCGCGCCCCUCUUCCUCCACCAUGCCGGCACGUCGCCAACCCUAUAGGAGGCCCUCGCCCUUCUGCUCUCCUCAGCCUCUCUCUCUGCGCGAAGCUCCUACUCCCACACCCCUGCGGUGAAGGAGUCCCUGCGCCGGCGUUCGGGUCCCCUGCGGCGUGCAGUGUUCUAGCCGGACGGACGAAGAUGACAGCAGGAUGGUCGAUCGUGGGGGAUCUCGCGCCGGGGAGAAGGCCGUGCAGGUGGAGCUCUCCAGCGGAAGUGUCGGCUGGGGCAAGACCCCCGACAUGGCCUCCGUAACAGCCCCUUGGCGCCGUGCUCGAUGACUUCGGUCACGUCGCCGGCGCACUCUCUGGACACGCCUUCGCCUCGGUAGGUAUUGAUGCACCACAGCUGGACUAAAAGUGUAUGGGCGCAUCGAGGAUUACGUACCCUAAUUAGGGGCUCUUGUCAUGUCAAUCACCGAGCUUAGUAGGUAACAGGCUUAAUGUUGAGUUUCUCUUUCGAUAUCGGUGUGGUGACCAGCCACUUUUACAUGGAAGCAGUUAAGCCCUCAAGCUUUAGCAAAAGGCCCUCUAAGCACAUUACCUCCAAUUUGAGAAUUGACGUCAAAAGGUGACCGCAAGAGAGAGAGCAGGGAUGUAACUUGUGUGUGAGCUUGUGCUGAAUGGAAGAGUGGCUGACCUAGCCAAGAAAUUCAUGGUCCCGUAGUAAUAUUAAUCAUCAAAAUUAGUAGUAAUAUUAAUCAUCAAAAUUAAUUUUUUUCUUUUAUAUUUUGUUAGUGUCCUUCAUAUGAUCAUGAAGGGGCCCAAAUCCCAGGUGGUCCGGACCACCCUGGCCACCCCCUAGAUCCGUCACUGGCCUGGGUGUGAGAUUGUGCUUAAUGCAAGAAAAACUUGCCCACACAAGGCCUAGAUCAACAGUACUUUUUUCGGCUACGGCUGGCAGACAAUCUCUCUUCUGAUCUAACAUCAACGAUAUGGCAAGGUCGGUAGCACACACAAGAACUUCAAUACUAGCAUGCAUUAAUUGCUGUACUCUGUUUCUCUUCUUAAUAAAGUUCGGCCGCAGGCCCUUCAAUAUUUCCAUUGUUGGAUCUUAAUUGAGCAAUCAUGUUGUAGGCUUGUAGCCAAUAUCUCUGCAUUUUGAAGUUAAUUUCAAUUUAAGUCAUGUUGAUUAGUUCAGUAUUUUUGUAUAUUUACCGGCCUGUGAGAAGCUCUAUUUCUCUUCACAGAAGAGGUAACUAGAUAUUUCCCGCUUUGCUGGUUCAAAAGGUUGAUAUUGGAUUCUUAUGUCUUUUUUUAUUGUUGCCAUUUUAAACUGGCUGGAUCGCAGUGGGAGACAGGACACACUCUCCGAAGUGAUAGCUGGUGUUACAUCUCCCCUUGAGAUUGAUUUUUUUUUUUUUGCACAAGUGCUCAUUCUGCAACUAAGCAUACUUUCACCUCAAUGUUAUAUGCACAGCAAGCUUUUUAUUUCCAAAACUGAAUUGUUCGUGGGAGUGAAUAAAUACUUUUGUCAUUUAAUUCAUGUUAGGGUAAUCUAACAAGGAGAAGAAAGCAAUGAGCUAAUUAGUAUUGGACCUAGGAGAUGAAGCAAAGCUAAUUAGUAUUGGACCUAGGAGAUGAAGCAACACGCGAGGAAUUGAGAAUUCUUUGUGCUUUCCAGCAUGUCUAUAGGCAAGUGGUUUUGUCUGCUAUUGUUAUAAAUUGUUACUCACUCCAAUCCAUUAUAAGUGUCAACUUUGUACUAAGUUUAGUAUAAAAUCUGAGACAUUUAUUCUGAGGGAGUACUAUUAUUUCCAGGCAAAAUAAUAUAUACUAUUGUUAUUGUUUUCUUUUCUUUUCAAAUCCAAACUAUCAAUAUUUCAGUGAUCUAUACCUCCACUGUGACAAAAGUUUGAUGUCGGCAUGGAGCGCCUGAAGCUUCCUGGGGAUGAAGAGCAAGCUCAUCGUUGUAACUCUCUUGGUUAAAUCUUUCUUUUGACGAAAACGGCAGCGCCGAUUGCGCAGAGCUAGGGAGCUGACAACCAGAGAAAACAGCUAACUAAACUAAACCGCUAAGAGCUAAGAGGCUACUUUGAUUAAUAGACUUUUACACAAUGACAUCAUUCACCUAUAAAACAACUCUUCACUCGAAAAUUUAAUGAAUUAUAUUAGGAUGUGUGCGUCAAUAAAUGUCUUCUUUUCAAAAGAGAAGGAAAAUAACUAUUUAUGUGAACCGGAGAUUGUAGGUUUGUUGACAAAUCCAUCAUCAUUUAGUUUUGAAAUUCAAACGCUUGUGGCUCACUACUAAUUUUGUUUUCUUUCAUUUCUCUAAAGAACAAACAUGUUUUUAUAUCCCUGAUAAGAUCUAUCACAUGUGCCUAUUUUAAAACAUAUCAUGAUGUCCAGGUUCGUGUCUAGAAUCAUGGCAACAUGGCACGGGGUCAAUUUCUGAGCCAUUUCAAUCCUGAUAUAUGUUCAUGGUGUAUCUUGAUCUUGCGGACAGAUCAGAAUUAAAUAUCUCUUCUUCUGUUAAGAAGCAAACCAAUUUUGGAUUAUUCUUAUCUAUUCAUUCUUUUGUAUCUAUUGAAUUUGCACAUUCUUGUAUGUGCAUUCAUGUAUUCUGGCAUGUGGGUGUCCCAGUACAAACAUGCUGAUAUAGUUGUAUACCCCGUGGGCAUGGCGUAGUAAGGGAAGAAAAGCUAACUUCUUGAGGGUUCAUAUUGGUUCAUGAAUCCAUAUAUUAUGAGUUUGUGUUGUUUCAUGGGGUAAAAGAAUUCAGCUCCACUAUUGUUUUCUCCCAAGAAAGAAGAGUUACGUUGUUGUUGUACAAGUCAUUAGGAUCUGUAUGCAAAAUCACUUGCGGUGGGUAUUUUGUUUCUAGGUAAUUCAUUAGAUCUUCCCAGCGAUGCUAUUGUGCAAUGCAACCACAUCAGAUUUUACUUCAUUUUUCUAUAGUAGAAAACAUACUUAUCAUACAUUAUUUAUCAUACAUUAUGUGACAUACAAUGUCUUCAUCUGAGACAUGAGAUCUGCUUAUAGUUAAACAAAAUCCAUGAAUGAAUACAAUGUCUUCAUCUGAGACAUGAGAUCUGCUUAUAGUUAAACAAAAUCCAUGAAUGAAUUCAGUAUUAGAAGAGAAACACCUCCUGGUGUGGUGGUAGAGUUGUGGGUGUAUCUUCAACCAACCAUGGUUCAAAUCCUGGUGUUCAUAGUUAGUUAGGGCUAUCCAACUAAAAGUACGAAUGGUAGGUGACCCAUGCAUAAGCAAAAAUAUGGCAACAGCGUGAUUUAUUGAUUGACGAUUUUGCGAACGGCGCAAAAAUAUGGCAACAUGGUGACGAUUUUACGAACGGCGCAACGCGCGUACACAGCUAGUAAAAUAUCUAAUUUUGACAUGAUUUAUCUAAAAUUGUGUGUUUUGCCUAGAUUUAACAUGAAUCGACUGAUUUCAUAUAAAUCAUCCAUGAAUGUUUCGGAACAAUUAAACAAAAAAGUUGAUGACCAUAGGCUACAAUUAACACUAAGGAGCGGUAUCUUAUCUAAUUCAUACAUCAAAAAUCAUAAAAUUCCAACUGAGGAAAACUAAGAUCUCAGAUCGGGCGCCCGGAACCCUUGCGUGGCCGCCGCGGAGGAGAAUCUUCGGGAAGGGUCUGUGGAGGAGAAGGAGAAGCAGCAGGCUGGGGGAGUACGCAGAUCCGGCGAAGCCUUGAAGGCGGAGCUCGGUCGGGCUUUGCCGGUCGUCGGCCGACGGAGCAGGCGCGGCGGCGGGUCAGUGGAAGGGACGGAGACGGAGGAGAAAGAGGAGGGGCCGGUGGAGGAGAAGUAGGGAAACGUGGGGAGGAGGCAGUCUCCGUCACAGAUCAGGCUAGGGCGGGCCGACGGCGCGCCCGGGCGGCGGUGGACCUCUGUCGGCCAGCGCUUACUCGCCCUUGGUGACGUGCGCUCGGGAGUCGGGUGAGGGGAGGGGAAGACAGAGGAGAAAACGGUUCGGCAGAUAUUUUCCCCCUUGGGCAGUUUGGACUUAAAUAACAAAUAAAUGGCAAGGGCAAAGGGGCGUGGGAAUUUGUUCCAUCUCCAGCACAAACAAGACCACC
rnacentral:lncRNA from 1 species